CGAGGGUAGUCGAAAAGAAGAGUCGUGCAGUAGAAAGCCACUCUAGGAGUAGGAGCCCACGAUGCCUGUCUCCCAGAAAACGUGGUCUUUCUCUCGAGGGUCUAGGAGACUUAAGGAACUGGGCUACGAGCCUAGGCCCGCGCUCGACCAAUUUAUUGACUCUUGGGGCGGGGGGGGGAGAAACGGGACGGAGCAAAGUGGAGGGAAUUCGAAAUUUGGGCUGAAGAAGUCGAGGGGUACCUACCCCGUUUUCCCCCGCCUUCCUCGAUUAUCCACCGUGUUCCUGGAAACGUGGGACCCGGCGGCCUUGCGACUUUGUUAAGAAUUUUGGCUCCUUCUUACCCUGCUUCUUCACCCCUCCUCCAAGCCUCCGGGACCUUUGACCGCCGAGAGCUCUCUACGCGGGGGAGAAAAAAACUCGGGGAGGGCCUGUCCCCUCCGAAGCGCCGCUUUUCCUAGGACAGGAAGAAGUGACCUAUUACAGUGUCUCCAUUGCUGUUAAAGAAGUUCUCGGAUUCAUACAAUAGUGUAUAGCUAAGAGCUCUUAGUUCCUCUUUUCUUUUUUAAAAAUUUUUGGUUUGAAUAUUCCUCUAAUAUUACUUUUUAAUUAAAAGAAAAGGAAUAAAUAUAUUUAAUAACAAGACAAAUUUUCUAAAUGAGGAGAAACGAAAGACCCUUGUGAAUCGUGGAGAUUUCAUCCGGUAUCACCUCUAAAGCAUUCCUAAUGCAAUAUAAUGAUUAAUCUCAGCCCUCAAAUUAUAUUCCACACUUGUUUUAGUUUCCCAUUCUCUGUGCUUACUGUUAUUUUCCUGCAACUUUAAAAAAGAGUUAUGGUAUAUUUAAUCAACUGAACAAUAAAAGUUAAA